CAAUUUAAACAACGAAGAGUUUGAUCCUGGCUCAGGAUGAACGCUAGCGACAGGCUUAACACAUGCAAGUCGAGGGGCAGCACAGGUAGCAAUACCGGGUGGCGACCGGCGCACGGGUGAGUAACGCGUAUGCAACUUGCCUAUCAGAGGGGGAUAACCCGGCGAAAGUCGGACUAAUACCGCAUGAAGCAGGGGCCCCGCAUGGGGAUAUUUGCUAAAGAUUCAUCGCUGAUAGAUAGGCAUGCGUUCCAUUAGGCAGUUGGCGGGGUAACGGCCCACCAAACCGACGAUGGAUAGGGGUUCUGAGAGGAAGGUCCCCCACAUUGGUACUGAGACACGGACCAAACUCCUACGGGAGGCAGCAGUGAGGAAUAUUGGUCAAUGGGCGUAAGCCUGAACCAGCCAAGUCGCGUGAGGGAUGAAGGUUCUAUGGAUCGUAAACCUCUUUUAUAAGGGAAUAAAGUGCGGGACGUGUCCCGUUUUGUAUGUACCUUAUGAAUAAGGAUCGGCUAACUCCGUGCCAGCAGCCGCGGUAAUACGGAGGAUCCGAGCGUUAUCCGGAUUUAUUGGGUUUAAAGGGUGCGUAGGCGGCCUUUUAAGUCAGCGGUGAAAGUCUGUGGCUCAACCAUAGAAUUGCCGUUGAAACUGGGGGGCUUGAGUAUGUUUGAGGCAGGCGGAAUGCGUGGUGUAGCGGUGAAAUGCAUAGAUAUCACGCAGAACCCCGAUUGCGAAGGCAGCCUGCCAAGCCAUUACUGACGCUGAUGCACGAAAGCGUGGGGAUCAAACAGGAUUAGAUACCCUGGUAGUCCACGCAGUAAACGAUGAUCACUAGCUGUUUGCGAUACACUGUAAGCGGCACAGCGAAAGCGUUAAGUGAUCCACCUGGGGAGUACGCCGGCAACGGUGAAACUCAAAGGAAUUGACGGGGGCCCGCACAAGCGGAGGAACAUGUGGUUUAAUUCGAUGAUACGCGAGGAACCUUACCCGGGUUUGAACGCAUUCGGACCGAGGUGGAAACACCUUUUCUAGCAAUAGCCGUUUGCGAGGUGCUGCAUGGUUGUCGUCAGCUCGUGCCGUGAGGUGUCGGCUUAAGUGCCAUAACGAGCGCAACCCUUGCCACUAGUUACUAACAGGUAAAGCUGAGGACUCUGGUGGGACUGCCAGCGUAAGCUGCGAGGAAGGCGGGGAUGACGUCAAAUCAGCACGGCCCUUACAUCCGGGGCGACACACGUGUUACAAUGGCGUGGACAAAGGGAAGCCACCUGGCGACAGGGAGCGAAUCCCCAAACCACGUCUCAGUUCGGAUCGGAGUCUGCAACCCGACUCCGUGAAGCUGGAUUCGCUAGUAAUCGCGCAUCAGCCAUGGCGCGGUGAAUACGUUCCCGGGCCUUGUACACACCGCCCGUCAAGCCAUGGGAGCCGGGGGUACCUGAAGUCCGUAACCGCGAGGAUCGGCCUAGGGUAAAACUGGUGACUGGGGCUAAGUCGUAACAAGGUAGCCGUACCGGAAGGUGCGGCUGGAACACCUCCUUUCU
rnacentral:rRNA from 1 species